CCUACGGGUGGCAGCAGUGAGGAAUAUUGGUCAAUGGGCGCGAGCCUGAACCAGCCAAGUAGCGUGAAGGAUGACUGCCCUACGGGUUGUAAACUUCGUUUAUAAAGGAGUAAAGUGAGGCACGUGUGCCUUUUUGUAUGUACUUUAUGAAUAAGGAACGGCUAAAUCCGGUCCAGCAGCCGCGGUAAUACGGAGGGUCCGAGCGUUAUCCGGAUUUAUUGGGUUUAAAGGGAGCGUAGAUGGGUUGUUAAGUCAGGUGUGAAAGUUUGCGGGUCAACCGUAAAAUUGCAAUUGAUACUGGCAGCCUUGAGUACAGGUGAGGUAGGCGGAAUUCGUGGUGUAGCGGUGAAAUGCUUAGAUAUCACGAAGAACUCCGAUUGCGAAGGCAGCUUACUAAACUGCCACUGACAUUGAUGCUCGAAAGUGUGGGUAUCAAACAGGAUUAGAUACCCUGGUAGUC
rnacentral:rRNA from 1 species